rnacentral:rRNA from 1 species
CCUACGGGCGGCUGCAGUGAGGAAUAUUGGUCAAUGGAGGAAACUCUGAACCAGCCAUGCCGCGUGGAGGAUGAAGGUCCUCUGGAUUGUAAACUCCUUUUAUAAAAGAAGAAACCCCAUUUUUCUAAAUGGGUUGACGGUACUUUAUGAAUAAGCACCGGCUAACUCCGUGCCAGCAGCCGCGGUAAUACGGAGGGUGCAAGCGUUAUCCGGAUUCACUGGGUUUAAGGGGAGUGGGUAAGUGAGUGGUGAAAUCUCCGAGCUUAACUUGGAAACUGCCAUUGAUACUAUCGAUCUUGAAUACUGUGGAGGUAAGCGGAAUAUAUCAUGUAGCGGUGAAAUGCUUAGAUAUGAUAUAGAACACCAAUAGCGAAGGCAGCUUACUACGCAGUUAUUGACACUGAGGCUCGAAAGCGUGGGGAUCAAACAGGAUUAGAUACCCGAGUAGUC